rnacentral:lncRNA from 1 species
AGCUCUGCUUUCUUCCGUAGCCUCUCUCAAGCCAUCAUGGUGUUUUUUAUUUGCUACUUAAUGUUAUUCUAACUACAGAAAAAAUUAAAAUUUUAAAAUAUUAGCAUGAAUUUUACUGUUCAACUUUAUAUUGUGCAAUGCCAGCUUUAAAUGCAAAUAUUAGAGCAUUUAACUCGUGGAAUCAACACAGUUAGGCAAUUCCUAUUUCAUAGCUCGUAUCUGCACAUGUAUUUCAUUCUCACCAGAACCGUGGAAACACUGCACAAAAUACCACACGAAACUCAAUUUUUUAUGUCUUUUUUUUCUUCUGCUUUUACUUUUAUUUGCAUUUAUUUUAUGCUGAACUUAUUCCUGGCCAUAAGUCUGUAUUUCUUCUGGGAUAACUUUUUCUUCUGUGCAGCCUUCUCUCUGGUCUAGGAACAAUCUACUGCCCUUUAAUGAGGAGCAUCUCAGUGGCAGGCGUGCUCUCGCAGGGGUGAAGCCAGCCAGGACCUGUGUUAGGACAGGCACACUCUUGCCUAUAUGUGCUCAAUGACCAGAGAAUCAACAUCUGAACCGCUAAGUUCUGCUUUGCCCUCUUCGUUUUUAAUCCCGUGCAGCAAACAUUCAGCACUCCUUCGGGACCCUGACCCCAUGUCCAGCCGCACAGUUUGCCCAGGGCAGCCCUACCAACUCUGCCGUUGUAGCAACGGGACAGCACACGCUGCCUCUGUAAAGUGACACCCUGCAGAUACCCGGAGGCUUUCGGGUAUGCAUGUCCUUGAUGACCAGGGUCGUUUCACGGGUGUUCUUAAAGAGAACACGAAGAUUUGGACCUCUUGAUUUGCAUGACUUUGUGGGGUCUUCUGGGUCAACUGAAUAGGGAACCGUUUCUAGAAAUCACCUCAGGCCACUUACUGGAAGAGCUUCUCUUUUUGAUAUGCAUGGAUUCUCCCAAAGUUUUCUACCUCGGGCUGGCUGAUGGGUGAGGAAGGACCAAAAGAGAAAGGAACUCUAUAUAGGGACAGGGACGCAAGGAAGAGGGUGGGCAUGCGUACUGUGCAUAUCUCCUCUGUGCCAUUGUCCCAUGGACUUCACUUAGAAAACAUAACACCAGGUGGAGAAUAAAGGAGCCGUCCCAUCAAGCCCUGCGCAAAUUUUAGAAGCAUAAGCAAAUAAACAGUUGUUGUUUUAACUCGCUGAGUUUUGUGGUGGCUUGUUACACGGUAGCUGGUGACAGAUACAAUGGCUGAGAUCGCACACAGCUAGGAUGAGACCAGGCUGUGGUGGAAUCCACGUGGGUCUGCUUCUCAAGUCCACACGCCUCUCUGCCCCACCAGGGCUUCCUUACAAAUGCUUCGUAGAGUAACUCCUAUUCUUCUCCUUGGAGAGUUGAUGAGUUUAGGGUUGAACUGGGGGGCGAAGGUUACUUAACUGCAACAAAUCAAAGUUGUUAUUAGAGCUUGGAGGAAUCCACAUCUGG